CCCCCCAUAGCUCAGUUGGUUAGAGCAGUCGACUCAUAAUCGAUUGGUCACUGGUUCAAGUCCGGUUGGGGGGACCA
rnacentral:tRNA from 1 species